rnacentral:rRNA from 1 species
UACGUAGGAGACGAGCGUUGUCCGGAGUUACUGGGCGUAAAGCGUGCGUAGGCGGUUUGUUAAGUCUGUUGUGAAAUCCCCGGGCUCAACCUGGGAAUGGCAAUGGAUACUGGCAAGCUAGAGUGUGUCAGAGGAUGGUGGAAUUCCCGGUGUAGCGGUGAAAUGCGCAGAUAUCAGGAAGAACACCGAUGGCGAAGGCAGCUCGCUGGGACGUUACUGACACUGAGGCGCGAAAGCGUGGGGAGCGAACAGG